rnacentral:tRNA from 1 species
CGGGGUGUAGCGCAGCUGGUUAGCGCGCAUGGUUUGGGACCAUGAAGUCGGCGGUUCGAAUCCGCCCACCCCGACCA